rnacentral:rRNA from 1 species
CAAUAGCGUAUAUUUAAGUUGCUGCAGUUAAAAAGCUCGUAGUUGGAUUUCGGGUGGGAAUGGCCGGUCCGCCGUUUCGGUGUGCACUUGCUACGCCCACCUUGCUGCCGGGGACGUGCUCUUGAGUUCACGCUCGGGACACGGAGUCGGCGAGGUUACUUUGAGUAAAUUAGAGUGUUCAAAGCAGGCCUACGCUCUGAAUACAUUAGCAUGGAAUAACACGAUAGGACUCUGGCCUAUCUUGUUGGUCUGUAGGACCGGAGUAAUGAUUAAGAGAGACAGUCGGGGGCAUUCGUAUUUCAUUGUCAGAGGUGAAAUUCUUGGAUUUAUGAAAGACGAACUACUGCGAAAGCAUUUGCCAAGGAUGUUUUCAUUAA